rnacentral:rRNA from 1 species
UACGGAGGAUCCAAGCGUUAUCCGGAUUUAUUGGGUUUAAAGGGUGCGUAGGCGGCUUUUUAAGUUAGGGGUGAAAGACGGUAGCUCAACUAUCGCAGUGCCCUUGAUACUGAAGAGCUUGAAUGUACUUGAGGUAGGCGGAAUGUGACAAGUAGCGGUGAAAUGCAUAGAUAUGUCACAGAACACCAAUUGCGAAGGCAGCUUACUAAAGUAUGAUUGACGCUGAGGCACGAAAGCGUGGGGAGCGAACAGG